ensembl:snRNA U6 U6 spliceosomal RNA
GCGCUCACCCUGAAGCCCAUAUACUAAAAAAUUCGAAUGAUACAGAUUAUCAUGGGCCCUGCGCAAGGAUGACACACAAGUUUGUGAAGCCUUCCAUAUUUUU